rnacentral:rRNA from 1 species
GACGAACGCUGGCGGCGUGCUUAACACAUGCAAGUCGAACGAAGUGGCGGACGGGUGAGUAACGCGUAAUCAAGCUGCUCUUCUGCGGGGGACAGCAGUUGAAAACGUGUGCUAAUAUCGCAUACUGAAGAUGGGGAUUGCGUGUGAUUGGGUAGUUGGAGGGGUAAGGGCCACCCAAGGCGAUGAUCAGUAGCCGGGCUGGGAGGGUGAAUCGCCAAAUUGGGGAUGGGGCACGGCCCAGACUCCUACGGGAGGGAGCAGUGGGGAAUCUUUCGAAAAGGACGAAAGGCUGACGGCGCAACGCCGGCGGAGUGAUGACGGCCUUCGGGGUGUAAAGGUACGUUCAUCGGGAAGCGGUACCGGAAGAGAAAGCCACGGCUAACUCCGUGCCAGCAGCCGCGGUAAUAC